UGGGAGGGAGAUAAAGAAGCUAAAGGAAGUUCUCAGGGAGGCUGAGGAGAGAGCAGGGACCAUAGAAACUGAAGAGUGCUUGACUUUGCAGCAACUCUGUUAUCCUAAAAAGAAGAAGGCUUUGAGCCAGGUAGAGGAGCUGCAGCAUAGCCUCCACACAUGCAUGCAGGCCCAGAGUGAUCUGCAGAAUUAUCUUAGUGACAGCUGCAACCGUAUGGGCCAGCUAGAACCAGAGAAGGCUGACCUGUAUUGGAGAACUCAGGCCAAGAGCCAUCCAGCAGACAACAACAGAAAACAUUACUAAUGAGGGAAGAGCUGCGUACAGUUGAGGAGGUCAGCCUUUUCAUACAUAAUAUGAAAUCCUGCUCUUAAAGUGCCAGAGGCUGCUGUUCCUUUCAACGGUAAAUAAGAACCUGUCAUCAGACCUCACCACAAUCACAGAUAGGCUCCGGCAUGUACUGAAGCAGCUACAUGAGCUGGAAGCGGAGAGCCUGAUCCAGAACAGUCAGAUCACUUUGUUGGAAAAUGAGCAGUUGCAGCUGAUUGGAGAGAAGGAGAAUCUGAUGGAUGUGUUUGAUCAUGGAAACCAGGCAGAGCUCAGAGAACUGAGGGAGACAUGCUGUAAACUAAGCUGAAGAGUCUGUUUAAGUAGAGAAGGCAGCUGGGAGACAGGGUAUCUCCAGUGAUCCAGUGAUCCAGAGAAGAACUGGCUCAAUGCUGGACCAGAGCCCAAAGACUAAACAUGUCAUGGUCAGCAUUUCUACAGUAUUUAUGUCAGUUAACUCAAUCAACAUUAACUCAGUUAUGUUAUUAAAAUGAGAUCACACCAGAGCAAAUGUUAUUAACUGAGGACACAUAAUUGUGACUGCAUGUCAAUAUUGUAUUAUCUGUUUUGAAAGUGAGACAA